UGGGGAAUUUUGGACAAUGGGGGAAACCCUGAUCCAGCCAUCCCGCGUGUGCGAUGAAGGCCUUCGGGUUGUAAAGCACUUUUGGCAGGAAAGAAACGUCGCGGGUUAAUACCCCGCGAAACUGACGGUACCUGCAGAAUAAGCACCGGCUAACUACGUGCCAGCAGCCGCGGUAAUACGUAGGGUGCAAGCGUUAAUCGGAAUUACUGGGCGUAAAGCGUGCGCAGGCGGUUCGGAAAGAAAGAUGUGAAAUCCCAGAGCUUAACUUUGGAACUGCAUUUUUAACUACCGGGCUAGAGUGUGUCAGAGGGAGGUGGAAUUCCGCGUGUAGCAGUGAAAUGCGUAGAUAUGCGGAGGAACACCGAUGGCGAAGGCAGCCUCCUGGGAUAACACUGACGCUCAUGCACGAAAGCGUGGGGAGCAAACAGGAUUAGAUACCCUGGUAGUCCACGCCCUAAACGAUGUCAACUAGCUGUUGGGGCCUUCGGGCCUUGGUAGCGCAGCUAACGCGUGAAGUUGACCGCCUGGGGAGUACGUCGCAAGAUUAAAACUCAAAUGAAUUGAC
rnacentral:rRNA from 1 species